CAGACUAAUCUCAACAGAGAUGAGUUGUACUGUGUCAAUAAAAAUUAGCAGAUUUGCUGCAAGUUAUUUUUAUCAGGUGUGUAAUUGCGUAUAUCUAGAAUGGUUAAUCUUUUGUGCAAUUUAGGAGAAUUAAAAAAGAUUUUUUUUUAUUUAAAGAGAUGCUUGCAGUUGUUUGAUAAGGCUAGGGGGAAAAAAAUCAAAAUACAAUCCUGUGGAUGCUUCUUCCCCUUCAAAUUCACUUAUUUUUCAGUCUUCCAAAAUUCUGUAUAGUAUGUAUGAAAUUUCUCAUUGAAAGUAAGAUGCGUUGUUCCAAGUUCUGCUAGAUCGUACUUUUAAAUUGUUCAGGUGGCUGCUGUUGCCUGCACUGGGACUGCAUACACAAGUGUAUGAGCUGAUCAAUUGCUGUUAUCCAGGGCUUUUCCAAUUAUUCUCUUUCUACAAUUUGAAGCCUAUAAGUAACUCUUGCUUCCCUAUUGUCUUCGUAAAACCGAAGUUCUUCUGUAGGGUUGCUUUAAAUCACCCAGCAUAACAAACCCAACCAGGUAUAAAUGCAUGCAGUAAGGAACGUGGAUUGUUGCCAAACCAACAGUUUCACACUUGUUAGAAGUUGGAGACGGCAUAGCUACAGCUCUGAAAUCCUUUUUCUGCCCCAUGGCCCUGAGUACACAGCUCUUACAAACCAGUGUGUACUGCUCUUGAGUAGAAACAUGUGGUGGGAUGGUAUGAAUGAAGCAGAAGACAGCUGACAAAAAAGAAGAUGGGUUGGAGAAAUUGUAUUAUAGUUAGGCACUCAUAAAAACCUCAGACAAAUUGCUGCAAUUCUAUCCCCUCAUCAGCAAGUGGUAUAGACAGUAGAAAUACCAUUGGAAAUGGUCCCUGUGCUCAUCUACUUGGAUCAUGGGGCAUGAGACUGGACCCAGGAAUGUUUUGAGUAGUUGGGAGAACUGGGAGCCAAGGCUCUUUAGAGGAGCAAGCUGCUGAUUUCCAGUGACUUGGGAACUUAGCUGGGUCUGUGCGAGUCUUGCCUUGCAUUGAAGCAGACAGCCAUUGAUCAGCUGGUCAACAAGAGGAAGCUGCUGUUUGAAGGAAUACUUCCAGGUUCCCUGGCUUUAGUCUGACCUAAAAAAAAAAAACAGUGAGACUGUCAUUAACAAGUGGGAUGCUGCAUGCUGUUUCAAGAUCUUGUUUUACUUUAAGUCUGAGGUCACAUUUUCAGUUCUUCUUGAGUUCUAACAAAUUUCGUCUAAGAACUUGCAUUUUAGAACUGUUUUUAUAUAUUUAGACAGGACAUGUUACAGAACUGGUAGCUGAGUGAUCAAGUUUGUGCAUUUAUUUAUUUAUUUAUUUUCUUAACUAUAGAAGUCAGAAUUGCUCCACUUCAUCCUCUUCCUGAUCUCUCCUUGGAGUCUUACUGUCUUUUGUGAGAUGAAAUACAACUUUCAGGGGCUUUGUGGGGCUCAAGCUACCUAUCUUUAAUUAUCUAUAUCCUGCUUACAUUAAAUAACCAAUUUGAAUUUAUAAUUAGGGAGAAAAAUAGAAAUCAUGAUCAAAUGCAAAAACAAAACAAUGCAUGUUUUGCAUUUCAUUGUCUGUUUUCUUAAAAUUUUUGAAACUGUUCCUCCUGAAGAUGUUGACUGGCAUCUCCUGUGUCUUUAGAAGAGCUGGAUUUUGAUGGUGGGUGGGAAAACAAAAUUUUAUCUUGAUCUGCAAAAGGGUAGAGUGGUGAAUACACUAAAGUGAAUAAACUAGCAUUUACAAAACUUGCA
rnacentral:lncRNA from 1 species